AUGGCCACUGAUUCAGGCUACGGUGGCUCGCAGAGCUACGGGUCCUAUGGAGGUCAGCAGAGUGGACAGGUGAGACUUGUCCCCAAGUUCACUAACGAUUCUAUCGAUGUUUGUUUGCUUUUUACUCCUUUUAUUUUAAAUGGACUUUCUGCUGUGCAGGGUUAUGGACAAGGAAAUGGCAGUGGCUCUUACGGCGGGCAGAGUUACAGUGGGUAUGGACAGCCAGCCGCAGCAACACAAGGUAUAGCAGCAACUCAAGAUGCUUAUGGGCAGUCUCAGCCACCGAGCUAUGAUAAUUACGGACAGGCUCCAGCUGGGUAUAGCGACAAGCCGGCCGCUCCUCCAGGGCCUCCAGGUGCCUAUGGUACCCAGGUUCCAGGAGCAGACAGCUUUGGAACGCAAAACUCCUACGGUGCCCAGGGGCCACGAGGGGGUGGCGGCGCCAGCUACGGGCGAUGGAGUGAAGGUGACGACGGUGGUCAGGGUGGGAGUUUUGGACGAGACCGCGGUGAUCGCUCCGAAGGAGGGGGCUUCAGAGGCCGAGGCCGUGGUGGCUAUGACCGCGGUAGCUAUGACCGCAGUGGGGGAUAUGACCGCAGCGGUGGAUACGACCGUGGCGGAGGACCUCCUGGUAUGGGGUAA
ensembl:lncRNA